rnacentral:rRNA from 1 species
UACGUAGGCAGCAAGCGUUGUUCGGAGUUACUGGGCGUAAAGGGUGUGUAGGCGGUUCGCCAAGUUUGGUGUGAAAUCUCCCGGCUCAACUGGGAGGGUGCGCCGAAAACUAGUGGACUCGAGUGUGGGAGAGGGAAGCGGAAUUCCUGGUGUAGCGGUGAAAUGCGUAGAUAUCAGGAGGAACACCUGCGGUGCAGACGGCUUCCUGGACCACCACUGACGCUGAAACACGAAAGCGUGGGUAGCAAACAGG